UGGGGGAUAUUGCACAAUGGGCGAAAGCCUGAUGCAGCGACGCCGCGUGGGGGAUGAAGGCCUUCGGGUUGUAAACUUCUUUUGCUCUGAACAAGGCAUGCUAAUGGGUGUGUUGAGUGUAGGGGUUGAUUAGCGCCGGCUAACUACGUGCCAGCAGCCGCGGUAAUACGUAGGGCGCGAGCGUUGUCCGGAAUUAUUGGGCGUAAAGGGCUUGUAGGUGGCUGGUUGCGUCUGUCGUGAAAGCUCAUGGCUUAACUGUGGGUUUGCGGUGGGUACGGGCUGGCUUGAGUGCAGUAGGGGAGGCUGGAAUUCCUAGUGUAGCGGUGGAAUGCGCAGAUAUCAGGAGGAAUACCAGUGGCGAAGGCGGGUCUCUGGGCUGUUACUGACACUGAGGAGCGAAAGCAUGGGGAGCGAACAGG
rnacentral:rRNA from 1 species